AACGAACGCUGGCGGCAGGCUUAACACAUGCAAGUCGAACGCAUCCUUCGGGAUGAGUGACAGACGGGUGAGUAACGCGUGGGAACGUGCCCUUCAGUUCGGAAUAACCCAGGGAAACUUGGGCUAAUACCGGAUACGUGCGAGAGCAGAAAGAUUGAUCGCUGAAGGAGCGGCCCGCGUCUGAUUAGCUAGUUGGUGAGGUAACGGCUCACCAAGGCGACGAUCAGUAGCUGGUCUGAGAGGAUGAUCAGCCACACUGGGACUGAGACACGGCCCAGACUCCUACGGGAGGCAGCAGUGGGGAAUAUUGGACAAUGGGCGCAAGCCUGAUCCAGCCAUGCCGCGUGAGUGAUGAAGGCCUUAGGGUUGUAAAGCUCUUUCGCACGCGACGAUAAUGACGGUAGCGUGAGAAGAAGCCCCGG
rnacentral:rRNA from 1 species